UUUCCGUAGGUGAACCUGCGGAAGGAUCAUUAACACUUUUAUAUCCACUAUAUAAACCAAAGUUGAACCGUCGUUGUGUUCGAAGUAAGGACGAAAGGCUAUGUGGUGAGGACUGCUCUUUCGGGAGCGCUCUCGUCUUCGUUCUACGAUCAACUUGUAUAGAAAUAUACAUUGUUGCUCAUGCUUCAGCACGACGAUCACCACGGUUAUAUUUAACCACUAUGAAUUAUUGUCUAAUUCUAUUUUUCUUAUUGUAGCACUCUUCGUGAGUCUCUUUAAGUAAAAAUCAUUUACGAAACACUGAACAACUCUUAGCAACGGAUAUCUUGGUUUCC
rnacentral:misc_RNA from 1 species